GAUGAACGCUAGCUACAGGCUUAACACAUGCAAGUCGAGGGGAAACGGCAUUUAGUGCUUGCACUGAAUGGACGUCGACCGGCGCACGGGUGAGUAACGCGUAUCCAACCUACCCAUUACUGUGGGAUAACCUGCCGAAAGGCAGACUAAUACCGCAUAGUCUUCGAUGACGGCAUCAGAUUUGAAGUAAAGAUUUAUCGGUAAUGGAUGGGGAUGCGUCUGAUUAGCUUGUUGGCGGGGUAACGGCCCACCAAGGCGACGAUCAGUAGGGGUUCUGAGAGGAAGGUCCCCCACAUUGGAACUGAGACACGGUCCAAACUCCUACGGGAGGCAGCAGUGAGGAAUAUUGGUCAAUGGGCGCGAGCCUGAACCAGCCAAGUAGCGUGCAGGAUGACGGCCCUAUGGGUUGUAAACUGCUUUUGUAUGGGGAUAAAGUCAAUCACGUGUGAUUGUUUGCAGGUACCAUACGAAUAAGGACCGGCUAAUUCCGUGCCAGCAGCCGCGGUAAUACGGAAGGUCCGGGCGUUAUCCGGAUUUAUUGGGUUUAAAGGGAGCGUAGGCUGGAGAUUAAGUGUGUUGUGAAAUGUAGACGCUCAACGUCUGACUUGCAGCGCAUACUGGUUUCCUUGAGUACGCACAACGUUGGCGGAAUUCGUCGUGUAGCGGUGAAAUGCUUAGAUAUGACGAAGAACUCCGAUUGCGAAGGCAGCUGACGGGAGCGCAACUGACGCUUAAGCUCGAAGGUGCGGGUAUCGAACAGG
rnacentral:rRNA from 1 species